GGUGCUGCGAGUAUUAUCUUUGAAGACGAAAUUUUUGGCAGGCACUGGGCAGAAAGAUCUGUGUUUUUUAUUGUUUUCAUCGAGGUGGUGGAUACCGUGUGGAACUUUUGUAGUAACUAAGUAAUAGGCUUUAUGGUAUUGUGAUUUCUAAGAGAUGAAAAGCGGAACGCAAAAUUGUUGGAGAGAAAACAGGAAACGUAAUAUACAUUCGCAUUCUGGGAGGCAAACAAGCUCAUCGGUUAAAAUGAUUGUGUCACUGAAGUAAAUAGCAACGUAACUCGCUAAAAACAGGAAGAGAAAUGCAGCAAAAUUGGAGAUACUGUGGGAAAUUCGCAUUUGCAAAAUAAGAUGCUGAAAUAGUAGAAACACAUCACAAAUCAAGUGCCACACCAGAACUACAGGAUUGUACAACCAAUCGCUCUCUGCCACCACCCUAUAUUUUUUGGGAUGGUUACAAAGGAUAGGCCACGGCGUAUGCCGAAGAUUACUAUUUAUAUUUUACCAUCGGCGCCAAAUUAAUGUGUCUGUUAAUAUAUUAAUGUUAUGGCACUGUCAAUAGAAGUAUCACAGAUGCACUUUAAUAAAAUGAAACAUUUUACAUUCCACUGUGAAAACCCACUGUCAUGUAGUGUUUAUAGAAGUGGGUGACACUUGCAUCUCUUGUGUUGGAGUUACUGUUGCAAUUAAUGUGAUU